rnacentral:misc_RNA from 1 species
AAGUCGUAACAAGGUUUCCGUAGGUGAACCUGCGGAAGGAUCAUUACAACGUAUCCACGUAUAAACCUUUGUGAACAUGUUUAACCGCAUGGUUGUUGUAUCGAAAAGCAGUAAAUAAUUCGGAAUUAAAAUUUACUGCCCGUUCUUUCCUUGCGAAAGAGGGAUGCAAUUGACUGUGUUUUUCCGUUUCAUAUUAACCACAUGUAAUCUUUAUGUACUUACGAAUUAAAGGCGAAAGCUUUUUCUUCGAUAAAUAUAAGAAAUUAUAGCACAACUCUUAGCAACGGAUAUCUAGGCUCUC